rnacentral:rRNA from 1 species
AAGUUGUUGUAGUUAAAAAUCUCGUAGUUAGACUUUGGGAUGGGCCGGCCGAUCCGCCUUAGGUGUGCACCGGUCGUCUCGUCCCUUCUACCGGUGAUGCGCUCCUGGCCUUAAUUGGCUGGGUCGUGCCUCCGGCGUUGUUACUUUGAAGAAAUUAGAGUGCUCAAAGCUAGCCUACGCUCUGUAUACAUUAGCAUGGGAUAACAUUAUAGGAUUUCUAUCCUAUUACGUUGGCCUUCGGGAUCGGAGUAAUGAUUUACAGGGACAGUCGGGGGCAUUCGUAUUUCAUAGUCAGAGGUGAAAUUCUUGGAUUUAUGAAAGACGAAUGACUGCGAAUGCAUAUUCCAAGGAUGUUUUCAUUAAUCAAGAACGAAAGUUGGGGGCUCGAAGACAAUCAGAUACCGUCCUAGUCUCAACCAUAAACGAUGCUGACCAGGGAUUGGCGGAUGUUGGCAUGUUGCUUUUAGAACUCCGCCGGCACCUUAUGAGAAAUCAAAGUUUUUAGGUUCCG